rnacentral:rRNA from 1 species
UACGGGGGGGGUAAGCGUUGUUCGGAAUUACUGGGCGUAAAGGGCUCGUAGGCGGACAACUAAGUCAGACGUGAAAUCCCUCAGCUUAACUGGGGAACUGCGUCUGAUACUGGAUGGCUUGGAUUCGGGAGAGGAAUGCGGAAUUCCAGGUGUAGCGGUGAAAUGCGUAGAUAUCUGGAGGAACACCGGUGGCGAAGGCGGCAUUCUGGACCGAUAUUGACGCUGAGGAGCGAGAGCCAGGGGAGCAAACGGG